rnacentral:rRNA from 1 species
GUGAAAUUGUUGAAAGGGAAGCGUUUGGCAUCAGCCCAUGGCGUCCAUUGAUCAUUCAGGCUUCUGUCUGAUGCACUUGAUGGAUGUCGGGCCAGCGUCGGCUUUGCCCGCCGGAGAAAGGCCUUGGGGAUGUGGCACCUCUCAGGGUGCGUUAUAACCCUUGGCGUCAUGCGGUGUGGUGGGGCCGAGGUCCGCGGUUUAUCCUAGGACGCUGGCGUAAUGGUUCCAAGCGACCCGUCUUGAAACACGGACCAAGGAGUCUAACAUCUAUGCGAGUGUUUGGGUGUAAAGCCCGUCCGCGCAAUGAAAGUGAAUGAAGGCGGGAGCCUUUAGAGGGUGCACCGCCGACCGGUCCAGGGGUUUACCGAAGGAUCUGAGUAAGAGCAUAGCUGUUGGGACCCGAAAGAUGGUGAACUAUGCCUGAAUAGGGUGAAGCCAGAGGAAACUCUGGUGGAGGCUCGAAGCGGUUCUGACGUGCAAAUCGAUCGUCCAAUUUGGGUAUAGGGGCGAAAGACUAAUCGAACCAUCUAGUAGCUGGUUCCUGCCGAAGUUUCCCU